AGUAGUUGACUCCGUGGCUCAGGACACGCUGGCGGCGCGCCUAACACAUGCAAGUCGAACGGGACUAUGCGAGAUGAAGUUUUCGGAUGGAAUUUUGUAUAGUUUAGUGGCGGACGGGUGAGUAACACGUGAGCAACCUGCCUUCGAGAGGGGAAUAACGGCUGGAAACGGUCGCUAAUACCGCAUAACAUACGGGAGGGACAUCCCUUUUGUAUCAAAGAUUUAUCGCUCGAAGAUGGGCUCGCGUCCGAUUAGGUAGUUGGUGAGGUAACGGCCCACCAAGCCGACGAUCGGUAGCCGGACUGAGAGGUUGAACGGCCACAUUGGGACUGAGACACGGCCCAGACUCCUACGGGAGGCAGCAGUGGGGGAUAUUGCACAAUGGGGGAAACCCUGAUGCAGCGACGCCGCGUGUAGGAAGACGGUCCUCUGGAUUGUAAACCACUGUCCCCAGGGACGAAGAUGACGGUACCUGGGGAGGAAGCUCCGGCUAACUACGUG
rnacentral:rRNA from 1 species